rnacentral:tRNA from 1 species
UCUCUUAGUAUAACCAAAGUACAACUGACUUCCAAUCAGUUAGACCUAGAUAUAAGCCUGGGAGAGAGUA